rnacentral:lncRNA from 1 species
UACAGAUAAUAUAAUGCAUAAAACAUAAAUUCUGCAAAAAUGAUUAACUAAUAAAACUUCCUAAAGCUGGACUCAAGUCAUGAAAAAUAUAUACGACUAGUUGAGAUCUUAAUCCUAUCUACAGAAUUAAACUAAUACAAAAAAUCUAAACAGGCUAUCUAUCCAUUGAAGUCCACAAAAGUAUAAAUUUCAUGUUGAAAUUGGUUAUCUGUUAGUUGUUAAAGAUAAAGUAAAUCAAAAUAAACUACAUGUGUACUGUAUAUCCAGGUAGGUUUUCAAUUUUUUUAACAUUGGGAAAUUAGCUAUAAAAUAAUUUUGGCUACAAAAUAAUGUGCACUCCAAAAUUGUAUUGUCAUAAUUAUAUUUUCCUUUGAGAUACAUGAACGUUUGUGAUAAUAAAAGUCAGCUGUUGUUUUUAUAAUUCUCAUACAAAAGUGAAAUGAACAUCAAUAUAGGUGUAAAAUUUUAAUUCAAAAGGAGUGUUUCAAAAUUUGAACAUGUCAGAACUACUUUCAAAAUUUUAGUAAUAUUUUAACCAUAAACAUGUUGUUUUUUUUUAUUUGAGGAAAAUGUGAUAUGCACAUUUAAUUAUGUUGCUGAAUAACUUUACUUUAACAGAAAGUUCAUGCUAAAAGUCUUUGUAAAGACUGUGGACUCAUUAAUUCUUUUUGUGAAAAAAAUCCUGUUUCUACUCAUUAUCUUUCCCAGUAAUUGAUUGAAUAUUUUUUAAGGUGAAGAAAUAAAAGGGAGCUUUUACUACAGUAGAUAUGUAUCAAUGUAAGUUCUCACAAUAGGUACACAUUACUCAUGAUAGCCUAUAGUCAACACAUUAAGGAAGAAAAAAGUUUUUGGCCAAAGCAUAGCUUUUCAUAAAAAAAACACCAUAAUAUAAGAGUAGUUAAGUCAUGUUUUAAUGAUAUUUGAUGUAUCAUAACCAGUCUUCACUAAAACUUGUUGAUUUGCAAGACUAAUAAUUGGUCUUUCUUUCAUAAAAUUUGUUAAAUAUUUUAUGUCUUGUAAGGCCUAGUACACGGCAGAAUACAUUUCCCUGGGCUGUAGAGAUUGUGGUAAAUUGUGAAGACUGGGCAACAUUGAAAUAUAGAUGAAACUAAAUGCUAGUUGUGAAAUACAAUGUGCAUUGACUGUGCAUGACAUGAUAAAAAAUAAUAACCAUCUUGCACACUUUUGCAACCAUAGAAACUCAUCGACAAUGUAUAUCAUGUUAUCUAUAAUACUAAAAUAACGAGGUCAAAAAAUAACUUUAUAUAUAGCUAAUAUAGGACAAUGGUGUAGAUUAAAAAUUACACCACUCCAGACCCUUUUGUUUUACACAUAAUUAAUAUUGCCAAUAAUUAACAAGUUCCGGGUCGAAUCUGAUACCAUUAUCAAUAGUAUAUUCACCCGUUACCUAUUAUCUUAUCUGUACGCUCCGCAUCUGACAGGCGCUCCACCAAAGUUUAAUGGUGUAUUUAGGAUUUUGCAAUAUACACAAGCCAUAAUCACAGGGUUGACACUACUAAAUUCAAUCAUUGUCAAAUUGUUUCCUAUUGCAGUAUUUUAAUCAGCAAGACUUUCUAAGAUAACAAUACGAAUACUAAAAAUCUGGACUUAAAAUAAGUACAGUUUUCAAUUUGUUAGCGAGCAUGACGUAAAAAAGCGAAUCAAAGAAUUCAACUUUAUUUAUAAUUAAUAAAGAACAAUACUGUUGAUUAAAAAAUAUUCUAUUCCAG